ACUUUUCUAUGAAGUGAAGUUUU
rnacentral:snRNA from 1 species